AGUUGGCACCACUGCCAGAGCUAAAAUCAUGUAAACAAGACACAAGACAACUCCAAAACGCCGGCUAAAAUGAAUUUUGCAUUUUCUGCAAAUUUAUCAUAAUCGAUUUAAUUGGUAUAAAGAGUCUGUAAAAAUGGACAGGAACUUGACAGGAUCCUUCAGGCCGUCUUUCAAGCGUCCAGCCGACACUCCGUGGUCGGAAGACAAGUCCGAUUUGGAUCCGACCGACGGCACGAGUUUCAUCUUCAAUCCACACCACUCGCUCUCCUACGAGCAGCAGCGUCAGAAACUGCCCAUUUUCCAGAACAGAAACCACAUACUUUACCUUUUGGAAAAACACCAAACUUUGAUUCUUGUUGGAGAGACUGGUUGCGGAAAGAGCACGCAAGUCCCACAGUACCUGUUUGAAGCUGGAUGGUGCGAUGAUGGAAAAUUGGUUGGGAUCACCGAGCCUAGGAGAGUGGCGGCCACCACCCUGGCGCAGAGGGUGGCUGAGGAAAAGGGUUGCAUUCUUGGAGGUCUAGUGGGCUACAGUAUUCGCUUUGACGAUUGCUUCGAUCCUACAUACACAAGAAUCAAAUAUAUGACUGAAGGAAUAUUGAUUCGAGAAAUGAUGGCUGACCCUCUGCUACGGCAAUACAGUGUGAUAAUUCUUGAUGAGGUUCAUGAAAGAACUCUAAACACUGACAUCGUAAUGGGACUAAUGAAAAAGAUAUUGAGGAAAAAUACAAAGUUGAGGCUAAUUGUGUCGUCGGCUACUGUGGACGCAGAGCAGUUAAGAAUGUUCUUCAGCUCUGGCAAGAAUGACAAUUCGGCUGCUAUACUUAGUGUCGAAGGCCGACUUUACGAAGUCACCGUCAACUAUGUCAUAGACCCUGUCCCAGAUUAUGUCGAUGGAGUUGUGAGCACCUGUUUGAAAAUUCACCAGAAUUUGCCAUCUGGAGACAUCCUUGCAUUCCUUACUGGUCAAGAGGAAGUGGACAGAGCGGUUUCUCGUUUAGAAGAACAUGCAGUUCUUGACAAAGGAAAAUUGAAAAUGCAAAUUCUUCCCAUGUAUGGAUCUCUACCUAAUAGUGACCAGCUGAAGGUGUUCAGGUAUGCCCAGGAAGGGCACCGAAAAAUUGUAAUUGCGACAAACAUUGCUGAAACAUCAGUCACUAUCCCAGGCAUUGUUUAUGUUGUUGACUCUGGCUACAUGAAGCUUCGAUGGUUUAACACCUCCUCACUGACGGAUGCACUCAUCGUCGUCCCUGUCUCACAAGCCUCGGCUGACCAGCGAGCAGGUCGAGCUGGCCGUGUCCGACCUGGAAUGUGUUUUCGACUUUACACUGAGCAAGCUUACAAUGAGCUGCAGAGGGCCACCCCUCCGGAAAUGGAGCGGUCAGAGUUGUCCUCGGCCCUACUACAGUUGAAAGCCCUGGGCAUUGAUAACGUCCUGCGUUUCACGUUCCCUUCGCCUCCUCCUGCUGCGAGUUUGUUGGCAGCCCUUGAACUAUUGUAUGCCCUUGGUGGUUUGGACAGAGAAGGGCAACUGACACACCCUCUCGGGGCAACCAUGGCUGAGCUUCCGUGCAGCGCCCUCCAAGCCAAGUGCCUUGUUUCCUCAGGUGAAUAUGGAUGUAGUGAGGAAAUUCUGUCAAUCAUGGCCAUGCUGCAAGUACAAAAUGUUUUCCUCAAGCCAGCGUCAGGUCAAGGCAACAUGAGGUGCAAGGUUGCUCGAAGGCAAUUUGAGGUUGAGGAAGGUGAUUUGCUCACUUUGCUGAACGUCUAUAACGCUUACAUGGCGUCCAACAAAACCAAAGACUGGUGCUCACGGAGCGGAUUGAACAGCAGGGCCUUGAAAAGGGCUUGCGAAAUCAGAUCUCGGAUGGAAAAAUUGCUUAACAAGAAGUUCAAUAUUCCAAUUGCAUCUUGCCACGGAAGUUCGGAAGUGGUGACAAGGUGCUUGGCAGCUGGCUUCUUCCCAAAUGCAGCAUAUCUGCAUCACUCCGGUGCCUACAGAACAGUCAGGGGAGAUAUAGAGCUGGCCAUCCACCCGUCGUCAGUGCUAUAUGCUGAGGAAUAUGCAGAGUGGUUGAUUUACAGUGAAAUUCUGCACACUGGUAAGGCCUACAUGAAGGACAUAACAGUCAUUGAGCCAGGAGUGCUGGAGGACGUCGCACCACACUUCUAUGAGAAGGUGGUUGAGAGAAAUAGGGAAUAAGAAUUAUAUUUUAAUAAUAAAAGACAAACUGUACAAGGCACACAAGGAUUUCUUCUAAAAACAGAUUUUAAUCAGCGCCACAGUGAGCGAGGGCAGGAUUGAAUUCACGAGAGCGGCGCUCUUUGGCUGACGGCGCGAGCUCGACUUGACUCGACGACCAACAACAAGCAAUCAAGCAAACUAGGCACAGGUCCAACAUGGAAGAGAAGACC